rnacentral:misc_RNA from 1 species
GAUGAAGAACGUAGCGAAAUGCGAUACUUGGUGUGAAUUGCAGAAUCCCGUGAACCAUCGAGUCUUUGAACGCAAGUUGCGCCCGAAGCCACUAGGCCGAGGGCACGCCUGCCUGGGCGUCACACGCCGUUGCCCCCCCAUCUACUCCUUCGGGAUUGCGGGGGGGCGGAUGAUGGCCUCCCGUGCGCCUAGCCGCGCGGUUGGCAUAAAUACCAAGUCCUCGGCGACGCACGCCACGACAAUCGGUGGUUGCGAAACCUCGGUUGCCCGUCGUGUGCGUUUGUCGCGCAUCGAGGGCUCGAAAAAAUGCUCGGCUCCGGCUGGGCUUUCAACGCGACCCCAGGUCAGGCGGGGUUACCCGCUGAAUUUAAGCAUAUCAAUAAGCGGAGGA